rnacentral:sRNA from 1 species
GCCAGGCUUGGUGGCGCAUGCCUGUAAUCCCAGCAGCUAGGGAGGCUAAGGCAGGAGGAUCGUGAAUUCAAAGCCAGCCUCAG